GACGAACGCUGGCGGCGUGCCUAAUACAUGCAAGUAGAACGCACAGUUUAUACCGUAGCUUGCUACACCAUAGACUGUGAGUUGCGAACGGUGUGGAAAGCCUACGCUAGCCUUCUGGUUAACGGGGGGAAACUGUGGGAAAGACUGGAUAGAACCUCCUACUGUUUGGUUUGGAUGGGAAAUUUUUGGAAGAUGGUGAUGGACUACCAGCUGAUCGGCCUGCGUUGUAUUAGGUAGUAGGUGAGGUAACGGCCCACCUAGGGGACGGUACAGAGCCGACCUGCGAGGAUGAUCGGCCACACUGGGACUGUGACACGGCCCAGACUCCUACGGGAGGCAGCCGUAGGGAAUCUUCGGCCAUGGACGAAAGUCUGACCGAGCAACGCCGCGUGAGUAAAGAAGGUUUUCGGAUCGUAAAGCUCUGUUGUAAGAGAAGAACGGGUGUGAGAGUGGAAAGUUCACACUGUGACGGUAUCUUACCAGAAAGGGACGGCUAACUACGUG
rnacentral:rRNA from 1 species